UACGGAGGGUGCAAGCAUUAAUCGGAUUUAUUGGGCGUAAAGGGCGCGUAGGCGGGGAGAUAAGUCAGAUGUGAAAUCCCGGGGCUCAACCUCGGAACAGCAUUUGAAACUGUCUUUCUAGAGGAUAGAUGGAGAAAACGGAAUUCCACAAGUAGCGGUGAAAUGCGUAGAUAUGUGGAAGAACACCGGUGGCGAAGGCGGUUUUCUAAUUUAGACCUGACGCUGAGGCGCGAAAGCAAGGGGAUCAAACAGG
rnacentral:rRNA from 1 species